rnacentral:tRNA from 1 species
UGGGGUGUGGUACAGUGGCAGAGCACUUGCUUAGCAUGUGCAGGUCCUGGGUUCUAUCCCCAGCACCACAA